CCUUCUGUCCGCUAGCUAGCUGCUUUUAAUGUAGAUUAAGAUAAUAAAACAUGGUGAAACAAGGCAGUUUCCCUAAGUUUGUCUCAAAAAGAUGUCGUGAGGAGCAGGAGGAAGAGAAUUCAUUCUCGACCCAGACACCUCCUCUUGCGCCAGUUUCUCCUCAACAAGUGCCAAAUAGUAACGACACGUAUGUGGCUGCUAAUUCAGCAGCGACAAGCUGUACUGUUGAAAGACUCUAUUCAACUGUCAGUCAGAUAAAAACUUGCAUCAGGGCAUCAAUGAUGACAUACAGACUGAACUCUUUGUCCCUGCUCUCCUUUGAAAGAGAACUGACUGAAUCGUUAACAAUGAAAUAAUUUCAGUGUUCAACACCAAGCCCUGUCGUCUCCUGCUGUAAUCUUCAAAAAAAAAAAUAACACCUGAAUGCCAUGCUGCUGAUCCUGGAUGAUGGACUUCAACACAGAGCUGGUGUGUAACAAUUCUGACAAUGUCACCGCGCAGUUGCUCUGGAUUCAGGCUGCCAGCAGCCACACUGAACUCUCAAGAGGCUGACUUGAGCUACGUUAAGACUGUGACCCGCAGGUCUGGUGGUGUUUCAUGGAAAAGCCAGAGAAGGAUUGGCUGCUGCUGCUGCUGCUGCUGCUGCUGCGGCUGGAUGAUGAUGCUUGGAUGUGACUGAAGCAGAUGUUUUCAUACUGAUAAACAUAGAACGUGAGGUUGUGAUUAUAUGGUGAAGGUGAAUUUUGCAAGUGAGUGUGAGCACUGCAGCCUACACCAACAGAAUCAUUAAG